rnacentral:rRNA from 1 species
UAGGGAAUCUUCCGCAAUGGGCGAAAGCUUGACGGAGCAACGCCGCGUGAGUGAUGAAGGUCUUCGGAUCGUAAAACUCUGUUAUUAGGGAAGAACAAAUGUGUAAGUAACUAUGCACGUCUUGACGGUACCUAAUCAGAAAGCCACGGCUAACUACGUGCCAGCAGCCGCGGUAAUACGUAGGUGGCAAGCGUUGUCCGGAUUUAUUGGGCGUAAAGCGAGCGCAGGCGGUUAGAAAAGUCUGAAGUGAAAGGCAGUGGCUCAACCAUUGUAGGCUUUGGAAACUGUUUAACUUGAGUGCAGAAGGGGAGAGUGGAAUUCCAUGUGUAGCGGUGAAAUGCGUAGAUAUAUGGAGGAACACCGGUGGCGAAAGCGGCUCUCUGGUCUGUAACUGACGCUGAGGCUCGAAAGCGUGGGGAGCGAACAGG